rnacentral:sRNA from 1 species
GGAAGGUUGGGCACGGGCACGCCGGGCAGUCUUGAAAACUGUCGGAGCCUCAACGGCUCCUGUGGGUUCGACUCCCACACCUUCCG